rnacentral:misc_RNA from 1 species
GAUGAAGAACGUAGCGAAAUGCGAUAAUUAAUGUGAAUUGCAGAAUUUAGUGAAUCAUCGAAUCUUUGAACGCACAUUGCGCCCCCUGGUAUUCCGGGGGGCAUGCCUGUCCGAGCGUCAUUGCUGCCCUCAAGCACGGCUUGUGUGUUGGGCCCCGUCCUCCGAUCCCGGGGGACGGGCCCGAAAGGCAGCGGCGGCACCGCGUCCGGUCCUCGAGCGUAUGGGGCUUUGUCACCCGCUCUGUAGGCCCGGCCGGCGCUUGCCGAUCAACCCAAAUUUUUAUCCAGGUUGACCUCGGAUCAGGUAGGGAUACCCGCUGAACUUAAGCAUAUCAAUAAGCGGAGGA